GUCGGGAAUUUUGGGCAAUGGGCGCAAGCCUGACCCAGCAACGCCGCGUGAGGGAUGAAGGCCUUCGGGUCGUAAACCUCUGUCGGGAGGGACGAAAGGCGCGCGGGUAAAAAAUCCGCGUACUUGACGGUACCUCCAAAGGAAGCGCCGGCUAACUCCGUGCCAGCAGCCGCGGUAAUACGGAGGGCGCAAGCGUUGUUCGGAAUCACUGGGCGUAAAGCGCGUGCAGGCGGCUUGGUAAGUCGGGUGUGAAAUCCCGGAGCUCAACUCCGGAACUGCACCCGAUACUGCCUCGCUAGAGUCCCGGAGAGGAUGGCGGAAUUUCCGGUGUAGAGGUGAAAUUCGUAGAUAUCGGAAGGAACACCAGCGGCGAAGGCGGCCAUCUGGACGGUGACUGACGCUCAGACGCGAAAGCGCGGGGAGCAAACAGGAUUAGAUACCCGGGUAGUCC
rnacentral:rRNA from 1 species